CCUACGGGAGACGGCAGUGGGGAAUAUUGCACAAUGGGGGAAACCCUGAUGCAGCGACGCCGCGUGAGUGAAGAAGUAUUUCGGUAUGUAAAGCUCUGUCAGCAGGGAAGAAAAUGACGGUACCUGACCAAGAAGCCCCGGCUAACUACGUGCCAGCAGCCGCGGUAAUACGUAGGGGGCAAGCGUUAUCCGGAUUUACUGGGUGUAAAGGGAGCGUAGACGGCAGGGCAAGUCUGGAGUGAAAGGCGGGGGCUCAACCCCCGGACUGCUCUGGAAACUGCCAGGCUGGAGUGUGUGAGAGGAUAGUGGAAUUCCAGGUGUAGGAGUGAAAUCCGUAGAUAUCUGGAGGAACAUCAGUGGCGAAGGCGACUAUCUGGCACAUAACUGACGCUGAGGAGCGAAAGCGUGGGUAGCAAACAGGAUUAGAUACCCCUGUAGUC
rnacentral:rRNA from 1 species